rnacentral:rRNA from 1 species
UCGGGAAUUUUGGGCAAUGGGCGAAAGCCUGACCCAGCAACGCCGCGUGAAGGAUGAAGUAUUUCGGUAUGUAAACUUCGAAAGAAUAGGAAGAAUAAAUGACGGUACUAUUUAUAAGGUCCGGCUAACUACGUGCCAGCAGCCGCGGUAAUACGUAGGGACCAAGCGUUGUUCGGAUUUACUGGGCGUAAAGGGCGCGUAGGCGGCAAUUCAAGUCAUCUGUGAAAUCUCCGGGCUUAACUCGGAACGGUCAGAUGAUACUGCUUUGCUAGAGUGCAGAAGGGGCAAUCGGAAUUCUUGGUGUAGCGGUGAAAUGCGUAGAUAUCAAGAGGAACACCUGAGGUGAAGACGGGUUGCUGGGCUGACACUGACGCUGAGGCGCGAAAGCCAGGGGAGCAAACGGGAUUAGAUACCCAUGUAGUCCCUGAGCGGGCUGGCAAGGCG